UAACUUUUUUCCUCAAAUCAGGUAGGACUACCCGCUGAACUUAAGCAUAUCAAUAAGCGGAGGAAAAGAAACCAACAGGGAUUGCCUCAGUAACGGCGAGUGAAGCGGCAAAAGCUCAAAUUUGGAAUCGCAUGUAUUUGCGAGUUGUAAUUUGAAGACAUAUUCUGAGGUAAGCACAUGUCGAAGUUCCUUGGAACAGGACGUCACAGAGGGUGAGAAUCCCGUGCGAUGUGUUCACUGCCUUGUGUAGAAUAUAGUCGAAGAGUCGAGUUGUUUGGGAAUGCAGCUCUAAGUGGGUGGUAAAUUCCAUCUAAAGCUAAAUAUUGGCGAGAGACCGAUAGCGAACAAGUACAGUGAUGGAAAGAUGAAAAGAACUUUGAAAAGAGAGUGAAAAAGUACGUGAAAUUGUUGAAAGGGAAGGGCUUGAGAUCAGACUCGGGUAACCGGGCCAGCAUGGGGUGGGGGAGUAGGAUAACCCUGCAGGAAUGUGGCUCUGCUUCGGUGGAGUGUUAUAGCCUGUAGAUAUACUGCUACCCUCGCCCGAGGACUGCGAUACAAUGGAUGCUGG
rnacentral:rRNA from 1 species